ACACAACUAGCUCUCAUUCUAAAACUAUUUAUGACUCCAAGGUGUAUUUCCUUUUCAUUAGUCUGUACCUGAGUUAAACAUUUCCAAAGAAAAAAGUGUGUGUCCUGGAAACCCUCUGUGUUGUCAGUCCCAGCUGUUCAGAAGGUGCCCUGGUGUUGUAACCGGCCUGGUCGUCUGACGCCUGCACCCAGAGAUAGCAGUUAGAUCUUGCCCAGCCAGAGUUGGUCUGUGACGUGCCUGCAGAGUCUUCGUGUCAAAAAUGUACAUUCUCCUCCUGCAUCUCUGUGACCGUAUGAAGGAGAGAGCAGAUUGCAACUCUUUUAACACAUUUCUCAGAGUUCUGAAGAAUAGCAUUCUUUGAACACCACUUUGCAAGAUGUUGCUAAAAGAAGAAAUCAAGAAUUACAAUUUCAUCAUAAUCACUAUCUUCAACAAGUCUUCUAGAUACAUAAGAGAUGUCCUUUUCAGUAAAUGGCCUCUUGAAAAUUGCUCUGUGAACAUCUAAAGCCUGUGAUUGGAGCUCUUCAAAUGACCAGAAGUCACUACUCAAAAACUUCCUUACCACACAAUUACUGGAUCAUGUGCUUCUCUUGUGCUUCUGUGCUACUCCAGCAUAAUCCAACUUUUGUUUGGGAGAAAACAGAUGUUGUUUGUGUCAGCAACAAUCAAAUCACUAUCUUUUAUGCUCCUCAUUAAAACAAAAGACAAUAAACUUUGUCUUAAAGGUAUAAACCAUAGAGGCAAAAAAAUG
rnacentral:lncRNA from 1 species